AGAAUCAACGCUGGCGGCGUGCCUAACACAUGCAAGUCGAACGAGAAAGGGACUUCGGUCCUGAGUACAGUGGCGCACGGGUGAGUAACACGUGACUAACCUACCCUGGAGUGGGGAAUAACUGAGGGAAACCUUAGCUAAUACCGCAUAAUACCUACGGGUCAAAGGAGCAAUUCGCUUCAGGAGGGGGUCGCGGCCGAUUAGCUAGUUGGCGGGGUAAUGGCCCACCAAGGCAAUGAUCGGUA
rnacentral:rRNA from 1 species